UACGUAGGGUGCAAGCGUUAAUCGGAAUUACUGGGCGUAAAGCGUGCGCAGGCGGUGAUGUAAGACAGUUGUGAAAUCCCCGGGCUCAACCUGGGAACUGCAUUUGUGACUGCAUCGCUGGAGUGCGGCAGAGGGGGAUGGAAUUCCGCGUGUAGCAGUGAAAUGCGUAGAUAUCAGGAGGAACACCGAUGGCGAAGGCAGGUCUCUGGGCUGACACUGACGCUCAUGCACGAAAGCGUGGGGAGCAAACAGG
rnacentral:rRNA from 1 species